AUCUACGGCCAUACCACCCUGAACAAGCUCAAUCCCGUCUGAUCUCGGAAGCUAAGAAGGGUCGGGCCUGGUUAGUACUUGGAUGAGAGACCACCUAUAAAAACCAGGUGCUGUAGGCG
rnacentral:rRNA from 1 species